UUAAACUGAAGAGUUUGAUCAUGGCUCAGAUUGAACGCUGGCGGCAGGCUUAACACAUGCAAGUCGAGCGGGGAAAGGUAGCUUGCUACCUAACUUAGCGGCGGACGGGUGAGUAAUGCUUAGGAAUCUGCCUAUUAGUGGGGGACAACAUUUCGAAAGGAAUGCUAAUACCGCAUACGCCCUACGGGGGAAAGCAGGGGAUCUUCGGACCUUGCGCUA
rnacentral:rRNA from 1 species